GUACUGUUUAUUUCUUCUUUGUAAAGUAAAGAGAAAUCAUGUUAACCAGGUCAAUGUGAUCCUGCAAUUUUUUUUUUUUUAGUUAACUUGGAUGAUUUUUAUCUUGCUUUAAUAGAAGAAACCCGGCCACUUCAGAGUCUGCAAAUGGAGCUCCUUGUCACUGAGCUCCAGAGAUGUAAACAGAAGUAGCAAACAGGUUCCUCUUUUAGUGUAAACAAAUAAGUGAUUUUUUAAAAAAAACUUCUGAAGGGAUUACUUGUCCAUAAUGUGAAUUUUACAUUUUUAUUCACAUAUUCAUCCAUAAGAAACACUAGGUGAAUGCAAAAAAACUGGGCCAAAUAGGCCUGGCGCAUACACACACCUCAAACAUCUCUAGCUUCCUCAGCAGAUGGUGUCUGAUUAUGAGCCACCAUGAACUGAUUUUACUCCACGUUUAUAAUACUUCUGAUGGCCACUCCCACAAGAAAACUUCAGGGUUUCUUUCAAGCAGAAGAAUCACAGAAGAAUACAAUAAAUGGUCUAGAAACUGCAGUGAUGAUUUACUAAAGGAAGAGCGUGGUUCCCUGAGCAAUGGCCCCAUCCUCGAGCCCGAAGACCCACUGCCCUAAAUGAGGACAGACAUUUGUUUUUGCACUCAAAAAAGUUGCCUUGUGGCUCGCCAUGCCCCCUAGUCUUGCCCCCAAAUAAACUCGAGACCUUAGCGGGCACGCACUCAAGUGGCUGAACAUGAAGACCAGCAGAACAGUGCCGGCGGAAUGACAUGGCAGAGAAAGAGAGAAGAGGAGGGACAUUUGGACACCAAGGGGAGAUUGGCCGGGGUGGUUGGAGAAGAGUCUGGCCACUGGGAGGCCCGACUCCAGGGGAAGACCACCUUUCCACUCCAUCCCCACUUCUGGCUUCCCCUGCAUCUCACUGAGAGCCACCUCCACCACUCAAUAAAACCUUGUACUCAUCCUUCAAGCCUGGGUGUGAUCCGAUUCUUUCGG
rnacentral:lncRNA from 1 species